CGAAACAGCCCAUGCAAUGCACCAUCUACGACAAAAUGGGUCACUCCCGUGACCGUUGUUGGCAUGUAAUCGGGUACCCAGCAGGUCGUGACACCCGUGGCAAACCACGGCUGUCUCUCCUUGGCAAACGACCAUCCACCUAGGCACCGAUGGCUCAUCAAGUUUCCACCUCUUCCCCACUUCCUGGUUUGACCCAUGAUAUGUAUCAAAAACUACUUGAUCUGCUUCAACCGAACACUCCACCCGCAAACUUCAUGGGACCCACAGUCGACGAGGCUGACUGGAGCGGGUGAGCUUUGCAAUGGACUUUAUGUGUAUCGACCCCAACCCAUUAUUGCUUUUUCCACUCAGACUACUGCUAAUAAGAUCUUAUGGCACCAACGCCUAGGUCAUCCUUCCCGCUUAGUUAUUCCCAGUCUUUUCAAUAAUCUAUGUGUUAUCUCUGAUUAUGAUAUUUGUGCUCGUUCUAAGCACACUAGACUACCUUUUCCCAUUUCUACUAAUAAAAGUACUAUAAUUUUUAAUAGAAUUUUUUGCAAUAUCUGGGGUGGCUAUCAUACUUCUUCUAUUUGUGGUGCU